rnacentral:rRNA from 1 species
UCCUUGAACCGCCUGGUUUAAGGGUGAAAGAGGGUUUCGGGUGUUAAUUACAGAUGGACCCGCGGCGCAUUAGCUAGUUGGUGAGGUAACGGCUCACCAAGGCGACGAUGCGUAGCCGACCUGAGAGGGUGAUCGGCCACACUGGGACUGAGACACGGCCCAGACUCCUACGGGAGGCAGCAGUAGGGAAUCUUCCGCAAUGGACGAAAGUCUGACGGAGCAACGCCGCGUGAGUGAUGAAGGUUUUCGGAUCGUAAAGCUCUGUUGUUAGGGAAGAACAAGUGCAAGAGUAACUGCUUGCACCUUGACGGUACCUAACCAGAAAGCCACGGCUAACUACGUGCCAGCAGCCGCGGUAAUACGUAGGUGGCAAGCGUUGUCCGGAAUUAUUGGGCGUAAAGGGCUCGCAGGCGGUUUCUUAAGUCUGAUGUGAAAGCCCCCGGCUCAACCGGGGAGGGUCAUUGGAAACUGGGAAACUUGAGUGCAGAAGAGGAGAGUGGAAUUCCACGUGUAGCGGUGAAAUGCGUAGAGAUGUGGAGGAACACCAGUGGCGAAGGCGACUCUCUGGUCUGUAACUGACGCUGAGGAGCGAAAGCGUGGGGAGCGAACAGGAUUAGAUACCCUGGUAGUCCACGCCGUAAACGAUGAGUGCUAAGUGUUAGGGGGUUUCCGCCCCUUAGUGCUGCAGCUAACGCAUUAAGCACUCCGCCUGGGGAGUACGGUCGCAAGACUGAAACUCAAAGGAAUUGACGGGGGCCCGCACAAGCGGUGGAGCAUGUGGUUUUAAUUCGAAGCAACGCGAAGAACCUUACCAGGUCUUGACAUCCUCUGACAACCCUAGAAGAUAGGGCUUUCCCUUUCGGGGACAGAGUGAACAGGUGGUGCCAUGGUUGUC